rnacentral:rRNA from 1 species
AGCAGCCGCGGUAAUUCCAGCUCCAAUAGCGUAUAUUAAAGUUGUUGCAGUUAAAAAGCUCGUAGUUGAAUUUCGGGGUUAGUAGGUUGGUCGUGCCACUGGUACGUACUGGUCUCACUGACUCCUCCUUCCUGAUGAACUGUAAUGCCAUUAAUUUGGUGUUGCAGGGAAACUGGACUGUUACUUUGAAAAAAUUAGAGUGUUUAAAGCAAGCUAACGCUUGAAUACAUUAGCAUGGAAUAAUGAAAUAGGACGUUCGAUCCUAUUUUGUUGGUUUCUAGGAUUGACGUAAUGAUUAAUAGGGAUAGUUGGGGGCAUUAGUAUUCAAUUGUCAGAGGUGAAAUUCUUGGAUUUAUUGAAGACUAACUACUGCGAAAGCAUUUGCCAAGGAUGUUUUCAUUAAUCAAGAACGAAAGUUAGGGGAUCGAAGACGAUCAGAUACCGUCGUAGUCUUAACCAUAAACUAUGCCGACUAGGGAUCGGAUGAUGUUAAUUUUUAAUGACUCAUUCGGCGCCUUAC